UACGAAGGGGGCUAGCGUUGCUCGGAAUCACUGGGCGUAAAGCGCACGUAGGCGGCUUUCUAAGUCAGAGGUGAAAUCCUGGAGCUCAACUCCAGAACUGCCUUUGAUACUGGAGAGCUUGAGUUCGGGAGAGGUGAGUGGAACUGCGAGUGUAGAGGUGAAAUUCGUAGAUAUUCGCAAGAACACCAGUGGCGAAGGCGGCUCACUGGCCCGAUACUGACGCCGAGGUGCGAAAGCGUGGGGAGCAAACAGG
rnacentral:rRNA from 1 species